rnacentral:rRNA from 1 species
AGCUUGUUGGUGAGGUAAAAGCUCACCAAGGCGACGAUCUGUAGCGGGUCUGAGAGGAUGAUCCGCCACACUGGAACUGAGACACGGUCCAGACUCCUACGGGAGGCAGCAGUGGGGAAUUUUGGACAAUGGGGGCAACCCUGAUCCAGCCAUGCCGCGUGAGUGAAGAAGGCCUUCGGGUUGUAAAGCUCUUUCAGCCGGGAAGAAAACGCAUGGGUUAAUACCCUGUGUGGAUGACGGUACCGGAAUAAGAAGCACCGGCUAACUACGUGCCAGCAGCCGCGGUAAUACGUAGGGUGCGAGCGUUAAUCGGAAUUACUGGGCGUAAAGCGUGCGCAGGCGGUUUUGUAAGACAGGCGUGAAAUCCCCGGACUUAACCUGGGAACUGCGUUUGUGACUGCAAGGCUAGAGUACGGCAGAGGGGGGUGGAAUUCCACGUGUAGCAGUGAAAUGCGUAGAGAUGUGGAGGAACACCAAUGGCGAAGGCAGCCCCCUGGGUCGAUACUGACGCUCAUGCACGAAAGCGUGGGUAGCAGACAGGAUUAGAUACCCUGGUAGUCCACGCCCUAAACGAUGUCAACUAGGUGUUGGGAGGGUAAAACCUUUUAGUACCGGAGCUAACGCGUGAAGUUGACCGCCUGGGGAGUACGGCCGCAAGGUUAAAACUCAAAGGAAUUGACGGGGACCCGCACAAGCGGUGGAUGAUGUGGAUUAAUUCGAUGCAACGCGAAAAACCUUACCUACCCUUGACAUGCCAAGAACUUUCCAGAGAUGGAUUGGUGCCCGAAAGGGAACUUGGACACAGGUGCUGCAUGGCUGUCGUCAGCUCGUGUCGUGAGAUGUUGGGUUAAGUCCCGCAACGAGCGCAACCCUUGUCGUUAAUUGCCAUCAUUUAGUUGGGCACUUUAACGAGACUGCCGGUGACAAACCGGAGGAAGGUGGGGAUGACGUCAAGUCCUCAUGGCCCUUAUGGGUAGGGCUUCACACGUCAUACAAUGGUCGGUACAAAGGGUCGCCAAGCCGCGAGGUGGAGCCAAUCCCAGAAAGCCGAUCGUAGUCCGGAUCGCAGUCUGCAACUCGACUGCGUGAAGUCGGAAUCGCUAGUAAUCGUGGAUCAGAACGUCACGGUGAAUACGUUCCCGGGUCUUGUACACACCGCCCGUCACACCAUGGGAGCGGGUUCCGCCAGAAGUAGGUAGCCUAACCGCAAGGAGGGCGCUUACCACGGCGGGGUUCGUGACUGGGGUGAAGUCGUAACAAGGUAGCCGUAGGGGAACCUGCGGCUG